CCUACGGGUGGCAGCAGUGGGGAAUUUUGCGCAAUGCUCGUAAGCGUGACGCAGCGACGCCGCGUGAGUGAAGAAGUAUUUCGGUACGUAAAGCUCUAUCAGCAGGGAAGAAAAUGACGGUACCUGACUAAGAAGCCCCGGCUAACUACGUGCCAGCAGCCGCGGUAAUACGUAGGGGGCAAGCGUUAUCCGGAUUUACUGGGUGUAAAGGGAGCGUAGACGGCAGCGCAAGUCUGGAGUGAAAUCCCAGGGCGUAACCAUGGAACUGCUUUGGAAACUGUGCAGCUAGAGUGCAGGAGAGGUAAGCGGAAUGACUAGUGUAGCGGUGAAAUGCGUAGAUAUUAGGAGGAACACCAGUGGCGAAGGCGGCUUACUGGACUGUAACUGACGUUGAGGCUCGAAAGCGUGGGGAGCAAACAGGAUUAGAUACCCCAGUAGUC
rnacentral:rRNA from 1 species